UACGUAGGGUGCAAGCGUUGUCCGGAAUUAUUGGGCGUAAAGAGCUCGUAGGCGGUUUGUCGCGUCUGCUGUGAAAACCCGAGGCUCAACCUCGGGCCUGCAGUGGGUACGGGCAGACUAGAGUGCGGUAGGGGAGAUUGGAAUUCCUGGUGUAGCGGUGAAAUGCGCAGAUAUCAGGAGGAACACCGAUGGCGAAGGCAGGUCUCUGGGCAUUAACUGACGCUGAGGAGCGAAAAGCGUGGGGAGCGAACAGG
rnacentral:rRNA from 1 species